AGUGAACGCUGGCGGUGGGCCUAACACAUGCAAGUCGAACGGCAGCACAGUAAGAGCUUGCUCUUACGGGUGGCGAGUGGCGGACGGGUGAGGAAUACAUCGGAAUCUACUUUUUCGUGGGGGAUAACGUAGGGAAACUUACGCUAAUACCGCAUACGACCUACGGGUGAAAGCAGGGGAUCUUCGGACCUUGCGCGAUUGAAUGAGCCGAUGUCGGAUUAGCUAGUUGGCGGGGUAACGGCCCACCAAGGCGACGAUCCGUAGCUGGUCUGAGAGGAUGAUCAGCCACACUGGAACUGAGACACGGUCCAGACUCCUACGGGAGGCAGCAGUGGGGAAUAUUGGACAAUGGGCGCAAGCCUGAUCCAGCCAUACCGCGUGGGUGAAGAAGGCCUUCUGGUUGUAAAGCCCUUUUGUUGGGAAAGAAAAGCAGCAGGUUAAUACCCCGCUGUUCUGACGGUACCCAAAGAAUAAGCACCGGCUAACUUCGUG
rnacentral:rRNA from 1 species